CAUGCCUUUUAACUGUCAUAUAGGAAAUUGGAAAAUCUUGAAUUUAACAGAAAACUCUCGCUAUUGGGGUACUUUUUUAAAAAACGUAUUGUAACAUAACUACUGUACACUAAAUAGUUAACAUUACCUGUUCUCCUUUGCAAAUCCUGUCAAACGAGUCACAUGUCUGAGCAAUAGAUAAUACCUAUACCUAUUAAAAGUCAACCUCUAUUCAUCUCUCUCUCUCUCUCUGUAUAGUCAUAGUCUCUUGUCUGUCUGUCCAAGAGGGGAGACACAUGGCUCUUGAACUGAAACUAGACUCUGUUCUAGCUGAAAAAAGGGUGCAGAGAGUGUUUUCCUGAAGAGUGGUUCUGUGGAGACUGUGAUGUAUUACAGCCACUCCACAACAAGGAACGUGUGAUUCAUGGGUUUUUGAAGCCAUUCAUUCGACCUCAUCCGUCAUUAAAGGGCAAAAUGGAUGUUGCGUCCAUGAGCAAGCUUGCAGUGAAGGUGCCAGAAUGCUCCUGUGAAGGCGCAAACUUCACCAUAUUAUUGGGCAAACUUUAAUUAUCAUCAAUGGGCGUUUUGACUUGCAUCAGCCACUGUAUACAUGUCAAACAUGCCAGCAUCAGUGGAGCCUUGAGUUGAAGGACCUCCUUUGGAGUGGAUUUGGCCUGCCUCUGUCACUAGUUUCAUACUUUUUACACUGGACCUCCUGAGCUCUUUUCAAGGUGAUUCU